rnacentral:lncRNA from 1 species
UUCCAUGACUACCAAAAAAAUUACAAACAACAACAAAAUAUAAAGAACUAGACAAAAUUGUCAAAAUUACACAAUAAUUAUGCAAAUUAAUGAGAUUCACUAUAAAAUCUAACUAUAAGAAAAGAUUGAACAUGAAUUUCACGUUUUGGGGGAUUUUGAAAUUUUAGGGUUAUCCAAUUUGAUAUCCAAUUUUAGGGUUAUCCAAUUAAUGAUAUAAAUCUAAAUUUGUGAUAAAUACAACUUACCCAGAGACAAAAUGACCCAAAUUGACGAAGAGAGAAGCUCCAACGGAGGGUAGAGGCAAGGAUAAGGUCCGACAAUGGAAGAGAUAAGAGGUUGAAGGUCCGGCAGAGGUGAAGAGAGGUUGUGAGAACAAUGGUUCGCCGAAGAUGAAGAGAGUUUCACUGGAGAAUAACGGAGGCCCGUCGGCCGGUGGCAGAGAUCAGAGGAGAAAAGAGGUUGAGUGGAGUGAAGAUCAAUGGGAGACGAAGAGGUUUAGCGUUCAAAGCAAUUUUGACAAAGUUAUUGGUUUUUUCUUUUUAGAGGACCCUUUUGUCUUUAUUGACUUUCUUUUUUGUUAAAUUUGAUUUUUUUGUCAUAGCGCCAAUAACAAAAGUUGCGCCUAAAACGAAAUUUUUUCAAUUUUUACAAUCCCCGCUACUUCAUUUCAGAAAAAAGAUGGUUUUAAGGCACGAUUUUUAAAAUGAAGUAGGGCACGGUUAGUAUUUGUGGCUCCGUCGUUGUUUAAAAGGGUAUAGGGCACGGAUUUUUUUUUUUUAGUCAUUCAGUCCACUAUAUACGUAAUUGGUAAGCCACGGUUCUAAAAUCCAUGGCUUGUUCCUGCUUUAAGUCACACUUUUGUAUCCGUGGAUAAGUCAAGUGUGGUCUAAACUCAAAAAUGUUGUAGUGCAUGAUAUCCUUUUUCGUUAAAAGCAUGAUUAUUAUUAUUAUAUAAAAUUACCGUCGGGAAUUAGGGUGUUACAUAGUUGGUAUCAGAGCAGGUCAGUCCAUCCGGCCAGGUUUUAUAAUUUUGUUAAUUCCCUACAGCGACAUGUGUGCAAACACUGUCAAUGGCUGAAUCCAUUUAAUAAGGUAUCUAACUGCUGAUGGGUAUAAAAGGAAAGUAGGAAGACAUUUUUCGAGCGAGGUCUGCUCACUACAGGAGUGUCAGGUAGAUGAAGGGUAAGAACCAGGAGUACGGUGAUGCCUUGUGGAGUUAUGGCAGAUAAGGAAGAGGAUGAGUGUCAACACGAAACAAGUGGGGGAGAUUAAAAGCUACAAUGAUAACCGUGGGAGUUAGUUUGGUGCUAGGUAUAAGUUGAAAGAUUAGGAGGAAAAAGUUGGGUAUUUGUGCUUUCCAAUUUAGGAGGAUAAUAUGGAUCGAGAAUUCUUAGUUUUUCCUUUUAAGCUUAGUCGCGAGUAAGUGAGUUAUAACAUAAUUAUGAAUGUGGUUUAGAUUAAUAUGAUUUGGGAAGAUAAUCCUUUGGUAGAAACAUGUUUCAGAUGGGUAUUUAUAAGAUGUUAAUGCGAAGGGUAUUUUUCGAGAAUGUAGAUUGUAUAUGAUUCAUUUACGGAUGAGUCACAUAAAGUUUUGAGCAGUUUGAAUUAUCAUAGGGAAGGAAUGAUGUGUGGAUGAUAUUACGUUAUAUUUAAGUUUUCAUGUGGAUCAUCGACAGCUGAGAUGAAGAUGUAGUAAGAAUAGACGCCUUAUCAGGAUUGAUGAUUUGAUGGAUAAGUUAAUUAGUGGGUGCAUAUGUGAUUAGUUAGAUAGAAUUGAGAUAGGGAUAUCAUCAUAUUCAAGUGAAGUUGGAGGAUGUACCCAAAACACUGCAUUUAUGACUCAUUUUGGCAAAUAUGAAUAUUCGGUGAUGUUAUUUGGAGUGUCUAACAUGCCAGGAAUAUUUAUGUAGUACAUGAACAACAUUUUCCAUCCGUAUUUAGCUUGUGUUGUUGUAGUAUAAAUGGAUGAUAUUUUUGUGUACUCUGAAUCGAAUGAGGAGCAUGCAGAACAUUUGCAGAUUGUGUUGUAGAAUUUAAAGGAGAAUGUGUGGUGUGCUAUGAUGUCGAAGUGUGAAUUUCGGUUACGAGAAGUAAGUUUCUUGGGACAUGUGAUUUCUAGUAAUGAGAUAGCAGUUAAUCCUUCUAAAGUGGAUAUAGUGUUUGCAACGGGAGGCUCCGAAGACGGUUACGAAAAUGAAAAAUAUUCUUAGGUUUAGGAGAGUAUCAUAAAAGGUUUAUUGAAGGAUUUUCAUAGAUAACAUUACAUUGUUGGCGAGGAACCGACAUACAUAUGUGUAGGAUAGGCAAUGCAAAGAAAAAUUCAAGAGCUUAAAAAGAAGUUGACAACGAUGCCGGUGUUAAUUUUGCCAAAGCCAAGUAGGUCGCUUGUAGUGUUUUGUGAUGCAUCUAAAAGAGGUUUGGAUGGUGUGCUUAUGCAAUAUGUUGGAGUUGUGGCUAAUGCUUCAAGACAAAUAAAAAUUCAUGAGAGAAUUUAUCUGGCACAAGAUUUAGAAUUGCAGUCGUGGUAAUUGUACUUAAGUGUGGAGGAAUUAUUUGUCUGGGUUGAGGUUUGAAGUGUUUAGUGACCAUAGUAGUUCACGAUAUCUGUUUAAUUAGAAAGUGUUGAAUAUGAGGCGAAGAAGAUGGUGUGGAUUAUUGAAGGAUUAUGAUUUUGAGCUGAGUUAUCUUCCAGGAAAGGCCAAUGUAGUAACAUAUGCCAUGAGUAAGAAGUCCUUACACAUGUCAACACAUAUGGUUAAGUAAAUAGAAUUAAUAAAUAAAUUUCAAGACAUAAGCUUAGUUUAUGAAGUGACGCCUGAUAUUGUGAAGUUAGGUAUGCUAAAGCUGACGAGUCAAGUGUUAGAAGAGAUAAAAGAAGGGCAGAAAACUGAUUUGGAGUUAGUUGACUAUGUAACACUAUUCAACCAUGGAGAGGAAGUGAAUUUCAAAAUAGACGAGAAUGAGAUUACGAAGUUUUGAGAUAGAGUUUGUGUGUCGAAUAUGCCGGAACUGUAACACCCCGUUUUCCCAAUAUACAAAUUUCUUAAAUCAUUUAUCAGAGUAAGCAUCAUAAACAACGGGAUAUCACAUAUAACAUAAUCCAAACAGUUAAAUAAUAAUUUAACCAAAUAUCUUAAUCAUUGCAGCGGAAAUUAUAUCAUAAUCCAUAAAACGUUUUGGCACGCAGGCCCCAUCAAAAUAAUCUCAAAAGAGUUAGUUCAAUAUAACAAAUAGCAUAUUAUUCACGUAAUAGAACGAAGCAUGCAUAACAUAUAGCCCCAUCCCGUUACGUAUCAGAGCGACCUANUAUUAUAAUAAAUAAUAAAAUAACACUACUUAAUAAAAUAACGACACACCACAUAAUCAUUUAAAUCACAUAAAUACUAAAAUAAGCUACUUAAUAAAUCACAUAAUCAUAUAAAUAUAUUCUAAACCUAUUUAAAUAAUCAAAUAAAUCAAAUAAUUCAAAGAGGGCGUUACACCACUUGCACUAAAUGCCCUAAAACUCAACCAAAAGAGUAACAGACACACACCAACAUCAGCAAAAAUGCAGGGCAGCAAGCAAAGGCACCCCUCAGCUCAUAAAAAACCUGUCCAGACCAACAGCAGCCCUCCCCCUUUACCUCCGCAAACACGCCUCCGGACACCACAGCCACUCAUAAAGCAUACAAACCUGUGUGUCUCUCGUUCCCAUCAACCACCGCCAAGAGAGGACUUGGAUUUCCUCAACUAGCUCCUCCACCCCUUUAACAACCACAUUAAACAUGUGAUCAUUCCGCGCUUUCCAAAUCACCCAAAUAGCAGCUUGCCAAAUCAUUCUCCUUACUAAUAAUUUAAUAGAAUAAUGAAAGACAACUACUACUAAAAUCUAUGCCGAGAAAAUGUCAUGUAGUGGAACAAUUUUUGGUGCACAAAGAGGUAAAUCUCAAUGACUAGUUUCAAAUUGUGGAGUUUUUCUUUUCACACAAAAAAAUUAAAAUAAAAAAAUCUACGGUGGGAGAAAAGACUAACACAGGAUAUUUUCAAACUUCUUCAUAUUAAAAAAUGGAAGAAGCUACACGUUGGCAUUUUAUUCAAGGUAGAUUAAAUAAUUCCCAGAGAUGGACAAAUCAAAUAUAUUACUAAAAAAGGAACCUUCCAUGACUACCAAAAAAAUUACAAACAACAACAAAAUAUAAAGAACUAGACAAAAUUGUCAAAAUUACACAAUAAUUAUGCAAAUUAAUGAGAUUCACUAUAAAAUCUAACUAUAAGAAAAGAUUGAACAUGAAUUUCACGUUUUGGGGGAUUUUGAAAUUUUAGGGUUAUCCAAUUUGAUAUCCAAUUUUAGGGUUAUCCAAUUAAUGAUAUAAAUCUAAAUUUGUGAUAAAUACAACUUACCCAGAGACAAAAUGACCCAAAUUGACGAAGAGAGAAGCUCCAACGGAGGGUAGAGGCAAGGAUAAGGUCCGACAAUGGAAGAGAUAAGAGGUUGAAGGUCCGGCAGAGGUGAAGAGAGGUUGUGAGAACAAUGGUUCGCCGAAGAUGAAGAGAGUUUCACUGGAGAAUAACGGAGGCCCGUCGGCCGGUGGCAGAGAUCAGAGGAGAAAAGAGGUUGAGUGGAGUGAAGAUCAAUGGGAGACGAAGAGGUUUAGCGUUCAAAGCAAUUUUGACAAAGUUAUUGGUUUUUUCUUUUUAGAGGACCCUUUUGUCUUUAUUGACUUUCUUUUUUGUUAAAUUUGAUUUUUUUGUCAUAGCGCCAAUAACAAAAGUUGCGCCUAAAACGAAAUUUUUUCAAUUUUUACAAUCCCCGCUACUUCAUUUCAGAAAAAAGAUGGUUUUAAGGCACGAUUUUUAAAAUGAAGUAGGGCACGGUUAGUAUUUGUGGCUCCGUCGUUGUUUAAAAGGGUAUAGGGCACGGAUUUUUUUUUU